rnacentral:rRNA from 1 species
UGGGGAAUUUUGGACAAUGGGCGAAAGCCUGAUCCAGCAAUGCCGCGUGUGUGAAGAAGGCCUUCGGGUUGUAAAGCACUUUUGUCCGGAAAGAAAUCCUUGGCUCUAAUACAGUCGGGGGAUGACGGUACCGGAAGAAUAAGCACCGGCUAACUACGUGCCAGCAGCCGCGGUAAUACGUAGGGUGCAAGCGUUAAUCGGAAUUACUGGGCGUAAAGCGUGCGCAGGCGGUUUGCUAAGACCGAUGUGAAAUCCCCGGGCUCAACCUGGGAACUGCAUUGGUGACUGGCAGGCUAGAGUAUGGCAGAGGGGGGUAGAAUUCCACGUGUAGCAGUGAAAUGCGUAGAGAUGUGGAGGAAUACGAUGGCGAAGGCAGCCCCCUGGGCCAAUACUGACGCUCAUGCACGAAAGCGUGGGGAGCAAACAGGAUUAGAUACCCUGGUAGUCCACGCCCUAAACGAUGUCAACUAGUUGUUGGGGAUUCAUUUCCUUAGUAACGUAGCUAACGCGUGAAGUUGACCGCCUGGGGAGUACGGUCGCAAGAUU